GAUGAACGCUGGCGGCGUGCUUAACACAUGCAAGUCGAACGAUGAAGCCCAGCUUGCUGGGUGGUUUAGUGGCGAACGGGUGAGUAACACGUGAGUAACCUGCCCGUAACUCUGGGAUAAGCCUGGGAAACGGGGCCUAAUACCGGAUAGGAGCGUGCACCGCAUGGGGGGUGUUGGAGAGAUUUAUCGGUUUUGGAUGGCUUGGCGGCCUAUCAGCUUGUUGGUGGGGAAAUGGCACACCAAGGCAGAGCCGGGUAGCCGGCAUGAGAGGGUGACCAGCGACAAUGGGACUGAGACACGGCGCAGAGUCCUACGGGAGGCAGUAGUGGGGAAUAUUGCACAGUGGGCGCAAGUCUGAUGCAGCGACGCCGCGUGAGGGAAGACGGCCUUCUGGUUGUAAACCUCUUUCAGUAGAGAAGAAGCGAAAGUGACGGUACCUGCAGAAGAAGCACCGGCUAACUACGUG
rnacentral:rRNA from 1 species